rnacentral:rRNA from 1 species
UGGGGAAUCUUGCACAAUGGGGGCAACCCUGAUGCAGCGACGCCGCGUGAGCGAUGAAGCCCUUCGGGGCGUAAAGCUCUUUCGACCGGAACGAUAAUGACGGUACCGGGAGAAGAAGCUGCGGCUAACUACGUGCCAGCAGCCGCGGUAAUACGUAGGCAGCAAGCGUUGUUCGGAGUUACUGGGCGUAAAGAGUGCGUAGGCGGUUUUCUAAGUUCGGUGUGAAGUCUCCCGGCUUAACUGGGAGGGUGCGCCGAAGACUGGGACGCUGGAGUGUGGGAAAGGCAGGCGGAAUUCCUGGUGUAGCGGUGAAAUGCGUAGAUAUCAGGAGGAACACCGGCGGUGUAGACGGCUUGCUAGACCAUAACUGACGCUGAGGCACGAAAGCGUGGGUAGCAAACA